ACAAGCUCCGCCUCCUAUCUGACGCCCCACCGCCAUGUUAGAGUGAAAGUGGGGAGAGCAAACGCGGGAGGAAGGAAGGAGUGGUUGUUUGCGUGCGUGUAUGUAGUGGGAGGGUAAUUUUGGUGGUGUCGUGCAUGGGUUUAAGGAAGGGGUGGCUUGUUGGGGGACAAAGAUCACGGGCCCGGUGUAGUGUUGUACAGCUUAAUGGCGGAUGCCGUGGCUACGAGCGGCGGGGAGAAUAUGCCAGAGGAGCCUCAACGGGUGGAGGACAGUAGCGGCCUCUCCGGUGUGGAGAACAGAGUUGCAGCUGUAGCAGCCGAAGCGGAGGAUUCCACACAAGAUGGCGGCCGCUCUGAGAGAAGCAGAAUCGACGAAGAGACGCUGUUAGGGGCCGCCGGCGAGGACAGGGGAUCCCCACGCAAUGGCUAUCGCAAGAGUAGCGGCUCCGUGGCCCACGAGCAGCCUCAGCUUAGCGAUAGGCUGGGGGCCUCGCUCCCUAAAGCUUCUGAAGACCUGCCUCUUAAGAAAAACUUUCAAAUACCCAGGAAGAGCAGAGAAAAGAAAGCUCUUUUUCAGCCAAUAACUGCAGGAUCUCGAGAAUUUGAAGAUGUUGUGAAUAUUUUGCAUUCAUUAUAUUUGGAAAACCAUUCAAAGGACAAUUUUACAUAUAAAAAAGCCAGUCUGGUUCAUAGUGAACUGUUGGAAAAGGAAUUCAUAGAGAAACGAAGAGAAUUGAAACAAGAUGGCCGAUCAGAAAAAGAGCUGACUGAAACAUUUGCAUUUCUAAAGGUUGAGCGUGUUCUGGUGCAAAGCAUAUGUGAAAAUGGCUUGCAGGUGGGCCAUUCCAAGAUAACAGUGCUUGGCAGCCCUUCUAUGGGUGUAUAUCUUUCUAGGUAUGCUGAUUUAUUGCAAGCUAAUCCUCUUGAGGCUAAAGCAGUGGGUGAUAUUAUUAUAUUUAAAGUAAUAAAAGGGAAAAUGAAGACUGUAUCUGAUAAUCUAGUAGCAAAACCCAUGGACUUAACUGUUAGAAGUGGGUUAGACCCAACGCCUAAGCAUGAAUGCCAUGUUUUAAAGAAUGCAAACAAAAUUACUUCCAUCCUAACUUACAGAGCAUAUGAGCGCGCACAGUAUUAUUUCUAUGAAUAUGGCUUUGAUGAGAUCAGACAAAGACCAAGACAUGUGUGUCCAUAUGCUGUUGUAUCAUUUUCUUACAAGGAUGAAAAGGUACAAAAGUAUUUGCCUCAAGUAAGAUCAAAGAUUUCUGGUAUGGAUAAGAGCACUGGUAAGCCAAGCUACACCUUAUGGAAAGGACAGCUUUUAAACAGAGGGACGCUUGUAUGCCAUGCUGCUUUGAAAUCAGAAAUGCGUCCUUUGCUUCCCUGCAAACUACCUGAAAAACUUGAUGUAGAGUUGGUUAUGAGCAUCGAAAACUUGACAAAGCGUGUAUCUCCACGUGUGUUGCAAAAAGAAAUGUAUUCAGGAGAAAGGGAAGAGUUCAGGAAUGGAAUGUAUUGUAGUCUGUAUGAAGUUGUGGAAAAGACUAGAUCAGGAAGUAAUUUGGAAGGUUUACUUCAAAGGCUAGAGACAGACAAACUAGUUAUUAUAAAACCGCUUGUAGACAGGGGAUAUCUCUUGCUGCUUUCUUCUUAUCAAAUGGCUUCCCCAUAUGAUAACCGAACAGGAAAGCCUCAUGUUCUGCAAGCAUUGUUUCUCUUUCGGAAUCCUAGAGGUGUAGUGACUUCAACACUAAAAAAUGAACAGAAAAGUGUGAAUAUGUCGACACUGCAGGAAGCCCAUGUGGUGAUGCCAGAACUUACAAUAUUUAUUCAGUCGCUACAUUAUGGUUAUGUUCAUUCUCGUAAAGACCCUAAAUCUGACUUAAAUACUGUGGUGGAAAAGUACAUAAAUGACUAUGUGAAACGAUACAGUAAAUAUAAAGAGUUCAUUUUAUAUGAGUAUAGCACAACAUUGGAUGAGAAAAGGCGUCUAUAUUGUGCACCAAAAAACAAAUCCAACCUUGAAAGCUCUUUGCACGCCUAUAUUUUUGGUUCUGAAGCCUACCAAAUUCCUGUUUCUAAAGCCAAAAAAAUAAUGGAUGGUUAUCGAAAGCCUCAGCAGUUCAGUCCUAUUUCAGAUUAUGAAGCCACAGAAGAAGAAUCUGACUACACAAAAAGAAAAGCUGGAAAAAGAAAUGGUUCUAAGUGUGAAAGUGUAGUUGUCAAGAGAAAGCCUGGUCAACCUGGGGACUAUGAUCAAGAAAGUAUCAAAGAGUUGAUUAACUUAAUUCAGUGUAAGAAGAAAAAUGUAGAUAGAGACUCUGACACUGAAGAUAGCAGAAGCGAAAGCAGACUGAAACGAAAGCUGGAUAUUAAGAGAGAGCGACCACAGAAACAUUUAAAAACUAGUGGUUCUUCAGAAGACAUUUCUCUAUAUGAAGGGGGAAGAGCAUCAGGAUCACUUCUUUCAAUAAUACAUGACCUUGGUGGACGUGAUACAGAUUUGAGACAGCAAAAUGUUGCUGAUCCUCCUGUUCCUGACAUAGCUGUAUGUGGUGUCCUAAAUUUGAUUUCAGAAAUGGUUAAACAUGUUUCAGUAGAAACCUAUUCAAGGCAAACUGUUAAGUACAACUCCAUUCCACCACAGAUCAAGGAAGAACCUGACCAUCAUACUGCACAAUCUGAAAACACUCAGUUCAAGGACCUUAAAAGCCCAGUCAAGCUAGAAACCAAUGCAUUAUGUUUGCCUUAUUCUGCCGAUGUUUCUGUCAGUGAAGUAUACACUGAUCAUGCAUUACAUUUAAAAGAACCCAGUACAGGGAGUGUAAGUAGCUUUGAUGGCUGUAGCCCAUGUCCUAGCACACCCAUUGAACAGAACUAUCACAGGCAGCAUUCCUGCUCAAAUAAUAUGGAAUCGGCUGAAAUGCAUUGGAAACUGAUUCCCAUCACAGGAGGGGCAGGAAGAGUUCCUGAGGAGCAACUGAGAAAACAUGGAGAUAACCAAACAGGCUUGAAAUCUCGAGAAGAAUCAUUGGCUUAUUCACCACCCAAGGAUGCAUCUGAAAAUGACCCCCGGGUAAUAAACAGGCAAAGAAGUUCUGAUUAUUACUCUGCAUUUUCAGACACACAGAAGAGAAGAAUAGAAGAUGGAGUGUAUACAGGUCAAGAGGAGAAAUUUGAAGAUCAGCGUGAACUUGAGACAGAUCACUUUUCGGCAAGCAAACACUCCAUAAGUGGAAUAAUCGAAACAGCAAUAUUGGAAGAGUACAACCUUUUUACCAAUAAGAUUCAGGAGAUUUUGCAGCAAAAGAAUGUUAUGUAUGUCAGUGGAAUACCUAGACCUGUCUUUUCAGACCAAGAAAAGGUCAUGAGACUUUCUGAAUAUAUAUGUUUGCAGGCAUCAGAAAUUGCUGUCCAAGAAUAUGUAGAGAAGUUGAGUGAAAAGCUCAGCAAUGUUGUUGCUUUGUCAUCUUCAUAUGGUAUCCACAGUGCACCAUUUACUUGUAAUCCUGGGCCAGCUGAUGAUUCAGUUACUGACGCUGGAUUGAAUCUGCCAUCAGAAGAGCCAGUACCUCUUCCAAGUGAUGUUGACAUGGGGCAGUUUCCAGAACCACCAUGUAACAACGUAGAGGGAGAUUCAAGCAUCAGUGAGCAAAAUCAGUUGGUGAUUUUGGAUACAGGAAAAGAACAGAGUCCAGUGAACACCAACAUAGAAGCAAAGUUGGCAUCUAAUCCAAAUUUGACUACUGCUGACGCUUUGCAACAACCAGAUAAGAACCCAAAGUCUGUAGAUAAUGUAAAUAUUACAACCCAGCCAGUCCUCACUGGCUUAAUAAAUCAGAUAGAACCUGAAUUGUUCAACCAUAUUUUCAAAAUUAUGAAAGAUGUCCAAAAAAACAUCGUUAAAUUCUACAUUCACGAAGAACAAGAGAGUACACUUUGUAAAGAAAUAAAGGAAUAUCUUACUAAAUUAGGUAAUACAGAGUGCCAUCCUGAGCAGUUCUUGAGAAGUAGAGCUGACUUGGAUAAAUUGUUUAUAAUAAUUCAAAAUGAAGAUAUUGCCGAUCUAAUUCAUACGAUACCUUGUUUAGUGGCUUUGAAGAGGCUCUCAUGUGUCAAUUUUGCUGGUGUUGACAGUUUGGAUGACUUGAAAAAUCGUACUUACAAUGAAUUAUUUGUUUCUGGUGGCUUCAUUGUCUCUGAUGAAUCUGUUCUCAAUCCAGAAUCUGUCACAUUUGAUAAACUGAACAGUUUUUUAAAGUUCCUUGAAGAGUUGAGUACUCCAGAUAGAAAGUGGCAAUGGAAAGUUCACUGUAAAAUACAGAAAAAGUUGAAGGAACUUGGGAGAACAAAUAGUAAUGCCACGAGCUUGCUGACACUCUUGAAUAAUUAUCAGAAGAAACACAUGGUUGAGAUUCUGUCGUACCAUAGCUGUGAUUCUCAAACUCGAAAUCCUCCAGAGUUAGAUUGUCUCAUAAGACUUCAAGCCCAAAAUAUACAGCAGAGGCACAUUGUUUUCCUGACAGAAAAGAAUGUGUUAACAUUUGCGAAUUAUGCUGAUAAUGGAAUAGUGGUUACUACAGUUGAUUACUUCAUGCACAACUUUAAAAGUCUUGUUGGUCACCAUAACUCAAUUACUGAAGAAAACAAUUUUCCUUCCCCCAUUGAUCAUGAAAGACAAUCAGCAGACCACUUAGGAAGGAAACAUGCAGAUUGCCAGAAUCUAAAGAUUUAAUGAUGAUGUAAACCAACUAAUAACAGAUACCAUUCAACUGCUGAUAUUGUGAAUCGUAUGUUGAAGGCCUAGUCAUGGGUGCAUCUGGAUCAAGGCCUCCAAUGUAGAAAGGACAAUGAGGAGGCAGACAAACCAGGAGGCGAUACCUCGUUCAUGUCAGGUGUAGCAAGCUGCAUAGACAAGACAGUCCAUGAAACAGAGCUGUGGAAAAGAACUUCCCUCCCUAAACACCAGAGGGAAUCUACGGAAUGCCAUCUUCCGCCAUAGUGCCUACUUAGAUAGGCUGGCUAUCAUCAAUUCAAAAUUCUCCAAAUGGUAUAGGUUAUACAAGAAUGACCACCACAGAUCAUCUUAUUUGGCCGGGCCUUUAUCUUUAAAACUCCGGCAAGCCUUCACGGCACUCCGAUUUCAAACAGUGCCAAACGCUGUGUUAGAUGGACGCUACUUUCAGUCUCCCUGGUCUCAGCACUUUUGUAUUUGUGGAGCCCCGAAGGUCGAAGAUUUGCCCCACUACCUGUUAUUCUACCCCUUGUACUCACAACCCCAUGCCAAAUUUUUGGAAAGCCUGUUGGCUUGUUCGUUGUGGGACCAUGAUGACAAUAGGAUUGCUUACCUUAUGUCUGAUACGGACUUUUCUGUAACAUACAAGGUCUCCCUCUUUGCGCUGGCAGCACAAAAGAUUCGUGCCAAAUUCAUUUUAGAGCAUGGGGUUGAUUGCCAGGGUGAUACCUUAAGGUGAUAAUUCACCAGUGCUGGUUAUUGGCUAGAUAGUUUUCCUGCUUCUAUAAGGUCACUUUAUGGUUAUUUCUCGUAAUAGAUUAGCUAGUGGAUUUUAGAUUUUUAACUGUAAUUUUAUUGUAAUUGUUUUGUCAUGUAUUUGC